rnacentral:lncRNA from 1 species
UGUAUCAUAACAUCAACAAAUUCCUACACGAGGUUUAUUAUUCGGAGAUGCAUAGUGACAACUUAGCUUGUGUAGAAAGAUUGCCAAGAAGAAAAAACCAAAUCUUCGUAGAUGCAUAUUACUCGAUGCAUAUAAAACCAAAAAGAGAUCUUCAAGGCCACAAUAAAGAAUACUACUCACUUGAUCUGCAGAAGAAGCACGUUCCACCAGUAGUGCAUUAUCUGACCAACUAAAAAGCACACACAAUUCCAGUGCCAAAUAACAGAGAAACCGAUAGAAACAAAACUCUGCAGAAACCUUGCGAAUAAACCAAAGAACACCAUACACGAAGGCACAUUGGGGGGCGUCUUAUUGCUAUUCAUGAUCUCAUAUUUUGUAGUGAAGUUCAUGAGGCAAGUUAAUAUGAUAAAAGUGUCUCCUGGAAUCGAGAAAUUCAUGAUAGGGAUUUACUUUCCAAAGAAAAAUGAAGUGAAUAAAAACCACAGCUCCGUAAAUGUGAACCAACAAAAGAUAAAAAGUUAAUAACCAACAAGUAAAAGAAGAGUUAAAAUUCUCAACACAUAGUAGGCAAAGUUCAGUUAUGAAUAAGAUUUUCAGCCUCUAGUUUCAAGCCCAAGAGAAUAUCAAUGUCAACAGUCAUUUUAGUAGUCAUACCGAACUGCAAUUCUACUAGAUUACUUGGAAAAGUGAAUUUCAGACAAAUAGAGACUUCAACCAUGCUAAUUUCAGUUUAUGAUUCCGAUCAAAACUAAUGGAUUGAAACUAGUGGAGCUAGGAUGGCAUGUUAAUUAAGAAGAAUGCAAGAAACAGGUUUAAAAUGCCACUAUUGAAAAUAAAUUUUAUAUUCGGCAAGUUUAUGAAACUAUAAAAUAAAUAUCCGAAUUCAAAUCAGUACAUUAUUACUUGUAAUUUAUGAAUUAUAUAAAUCUGGAUCAGUAGAAUCCUAAAAAACUAGAGGACGAACAUAAAAAAUAGAUUAUAGGUAGCAGAAGUAAAAGAUUAAACGCGGAACAUGCAGACUAAGCAGAGGUGAGGGAAUUUUAUCCUUGGUGAGAGCAUUUUAUAUAGCUACCAUCAUGAAUUCUAGCCAAGAUUUUAUAAACAGAUAAAAUCUAGCUGUAAUCAUCCAUAAAUUAUAAAUUAUAAUUUAAAUUAUCCUAUCCAAGAUUAGAAAGUUUUAUAGAUUAUAAAUUUCUAAUGUCUAUAUGUAGAAAAAGGAAAAAGGUUAACUCCAUUUUUUUUUUUCCUAUUAACUAACUUGGCAAGUAAGAAUGAUAUCAAAAUUUGCUUUGAAAGGCCAAAAAAGGGGUUUGGCUAAAGGAAAUAUAUCCAAAAAAGGAUGAUGAUAUAAUUAAUAAUUAAUCAAACCAAUUUAGACGGAAAUAGGACAGACAAAUUGUGAUCAACAUUAAAAAAAAACAGAAACUCAAACCUACAAAUAAUAUAAUAACUAAUAAUAAAUUUACUUUAGGACAUUUUUACGACUGCUUUCAAAAUCUAAGGCAAGAAACAAAACUCUGUGCAGAAACAAAAGAACACCAUACAUGAAGACACGGGGACACGGGGGGGGGGGUUGGGGGGGGGGGGGGUGUCUUAUUGCAAUUCAUGAUCUCAUAUUUUGUAGUGAAGUUCACGAGGGAAGUUAAUAUGACAGAAGUGUCUCCUGGAAUCGUUGAAUUCAUAAUAGGGAUUAACUGAAGACUGACAAAGAAAAAUAAAGUGAAUGAAAAAUCACAGCUCCGGAAAAGCGAACUACCGAGAGAUAAAAAGUCAAUAACCAACAAGCAAAAGAAGAGACAAAAUUAUUAACACAUAAUAGGCAGAAGUUAAGUUAUGAAUAAGAAAACAUCAGUGUCAACAGUCGUUUUAGUAGUCAUACCGAAUCGCAAUUUUACUAGAUUACUUAGAAAAGUGAAUUUCGAAAAAAUAGACUUCAGCCAUGCUAAUUUAAGUUUAUGAUUCCCAUCAAAACUAAUGGAUUGAAACUAGUGGAGCUAGGAUGGCAUGAUAAUUAAGAACAAUGCAAGAAACAGAUAUAAAAUGCAACUAUUAAAAAUAAAUUUUAUAUUCGGCAAGUUUAUGAAAAUAUAAAAUUCAAAUUCAAAAAUUAAAAUCAGUACAUUAUAAUUUAUAAUUUAUGAAUUAUAUAAAUUUGGAUCACUAGAAUCCUAAAAAACUCAACAGAGAACAUGUAGCCUAAGCAGAUAUGAGAGAAUUUUAUCCUUAGUGUAAGCGUAUCAUAUAGUUACCGUCAUGAAUUCUAGCCAAGAUAUUAUAAACAGAUCAAAAUCUAGCUGCAAUCAUCUAUAAAUUAUAAUUUAUAAUUUAAAUUAUCCUAUUCAAGAUUAGAAAAGUUAAUAAAUUAAAUAUUAUAGAUUAUUCAAUUAUAAAAGGAGCGUAGAGCUAUAAAUAUGCCAUUAUGAUUACCUUAAAUCCUGCUAAGGAAACUGAGAAACUAAGAGCAUAACACCAUCAACUCAGCAACCCAGAGCUCUAGGAGAUACUAAGAAGACGAACUCAAACAUACAGCUAGUUUUACUAAACAAUAAAUACACAACCAAACAAGCCACAAAAAGAAACCAGAGUAUAUGAAGAGAAAGUUCAAGAAGCCACACGUAAUUCGAUUAUACAUUACAAAGUCUAAAUGUAGAAAGAUGAAAAAAGUUAACUGGGAUCUUUGAGAGAACUAUAUAAACUCCAUGGUUUUUUCGCAUAAAAAAGUUAACUAAUCUUGGCAAGUACGAAUGAUAUCAAAAUUUCGGGGGGUAUGUUUCCUAUUAUCUAAGAUUUUUUAGAGAACUAUAUAAUCUCCAUGCUCUUUUUUUUCCCAUAACAGUUAACUAGGAUUUCAUCAGUGCUUUUGGGGAAUAUAUUUCCUAUUAAUUAAUCUUGGCAAGUACUUAUGAUAUCAAAAUUUGCUUCCAAAGGCCGAAAAAAGGGUGUGAUCGGGUAGAGCAAUUACAACAGCAAUUUAAUGAAACCAGUUUAGGCAGAAAUAGGACAGACAAAUUGCAUUACAAGAAAAAAAGAACAUUGUGAUCAGACAAAUAAAUAACUAAAAUCAACAGUAAGAAGGAAGAACAGAUUACCUGAACCUGGAUGAGUCCAAUUACUCUAGAAGCAUUAAAAUGGUAAGUAAACACAUGUUUGUUUCAAGCAGAGAACAGAAAUCACAAAAUGAAACAUCGACGUACUGAUGAGGUAUUAUCACACAAGGGAGCAGAAGUCCUAUGAAGUAAAUAAAUCAAAAAUUAGUUAUUUUUCCUGUUGUGCCUUGAUCCAACUGCAUUUAAUAGACAAGAUAGAAAAAAACAUCUAGGUGGUGAUGGAUAUUAGCACAAAGGUAAUAGAAAUACUAUGAAACAAACAAAUCAUAAAAAUACAUCAACUUCCCCAUUAUGUCGUGAUCCAAUCAGUAGCUAAGACUCUAAACCUCAAAUCCAACUGCAUGCAAAAUGAAACAGACAAGGACCGAGUAAAAACACAGAAGGUAAAAGAAGUCCGAUGAAAUAAAUAAAUCAUUAAUUAGAUCUUCCCCGUUAUAUCCCGACCCACAAGAAUCUAAAAACCUCAGACCGAACUGCAAUUUAAAGGACAAAUCAGAUUUAAAAAUCAGGCAACACCAUGUACGAAGGGGGUAUUAGAACACAAUAUGGAAAUGAUAGUCCUAUGAAAUAAAUAUAUCACUAAUUAUAUUCGCUUCCCCAUUAUGUCUCGAUCCGUUAGCAGCUUUUACGAUAAGACUCUAAACCUCAGAUCCAACUGCAUUUACCAGAAAAGACAAAAUAAAACAUCUAGGUAGUGACACGAAAAGGUAAUAGAAUUCCUAGGGAACAAAUAAAUGAAAAAUUAGAUCAUCUUCCCCAUUAUGUCUUGAUCCCAACAAUAGCUUUAAGGUGAGCCACUAAACUCAGAACAACUGCAAGCAAUGAAACAUCUAGGUAGAGAGGGGGAAUUAACAAACAAGAAGUAAUAGAAGUCCUAAGAAAUAAACAAAUCAGAAAUUAGUUAUCUUCCCCAUUAACUCUUUGUCCCAUCAAUGGCUUCAGACAAGACUCUAAACCUCAAAUUCAACUGCAUAUAAUAGAAAAGAGAGAAUAGAACAUCCACGUGGAGAAGGGUGUAUUACAACAGAAUAAGGGAAUAAGAUUAUCUUCCCUAUUAUGUAUCAAUCCCAUCAGCAAGACUGUAAACGUUAGAUCCAACUGCAUUAACCAGACAAGACGAAAUAAAACAUCUAGCUAGUGAGGGAUAUUAGCACACAAAAAGUAACAAAUAUAUCAAAAAUAAGAGCAUCUUCCCCAUUACGUCUCGACCCCAAGUUCCCAACAAUAGCUUCAAGGCGGGGAGGGUGAAUUAGCGAACAAGAAGGAAUAGAAGUCCUACGAAUAAACAAAUCACCAAUUAGUUAUCUUCCUCAUUAUCUAUUGUCCCAUCAAUGGCUUCAGACAAGACUCUAAACCUCAGAUUAUUAGCACUAACAAAGGGAAUAGAAUUCCCAAGAAAAAGAUCAAUCAUAUGUUAGAUCUUCCCCAUUAUGUCCCAGCAAGUAGCUUUAAGAUAAAACUGAACCUACGAUUGGUCACGGCAGACCAAAACAUCCAAGUAUGAAUAUCCCCUUAUCACACAAGUUAAAUUAUCGUCCCCGUUAUUUCCCGUUCCAAUAGCUUUAAGAUACGACUCUAAACAUCCAAUCCAACUGCAAAACAGAUAAAACAUCCAGAGAUGGAGGGGGUACAAGCACAAAAUAAGAGAUUGGCUGUCUUCCCCUUAUGUUCAUGCCCAUCAGGUGGUAAGAUAAUACUCCAAGCCUCAGAUCCAACUGUAUUUACCAGACAGGACAAAAUAAAUCACCUAGGUUGCGAGGGGAUAAUAGAUCCAUGAAAUUAAAAAUCACAAAUUAGAUUAUCUUCCCCAUUAUGUUCGACCUCAUUAAUAACUUCAAGAUAAGACUCCAAACACGAGAUCCAACUGCAUGCAAUGGACAAACCAAUGGAACAUCCAGGUGGGGAGGGGGCAUUAGCACACAAGAAAGGAAUAAAAAUCCAACGACAUCCCAUCAGUCAUCCAAAUUGUAUAUAACGGACAAACCCUGAGCACACAAUAAAUCAAAAAAUCAAUUAUCUUUUCCAUAAUGCUUCAAUCCAUUCAAUAGCUUUAAGAUAAGACUCUACACAUCAUAUCCAACUGCAUUUACUCAGGUCUCUUGCUUGAGAGAGAGGUGACCUAUCCACAUGAUCCAUAAGAGGCUGAAGUCUAGUAAAAUUAGAUUUUCAUCAUUCCAGAAGUUAGCUUUAGAAAAUAAAGAUGAAACUAGCAUAACUUCCCAAAGACCACAAAUCAAAGGUACCAAAUGAUUGAUCGACCAGUCAUUUUUGUUGCAAGUUUCUGCAAAUAGAAAGGAAAAACGAAAUAGAUCUGAAAUGUAAAAAGAAUAGAUUAUGGAGGGAAUCAUAAGAAUAUACAACUAUUGUACUCACCACCACUUGCCGAUCAACACAGCCCAAUCCAUUCUAUGUAGCAACCAAACUUCUCAAAACAUAACACGAAAUUGUCAUACAAGCAAAUUCACGAAAAGACCGAGAAAUGCUUAGAGCUCAAAACACUUGCCUUUAUCCAGAAAACAAAUCAAAUCAGCCAACAACCAGACCAGGGUGGGAAAACAUGAACCAAAUCCAAACCACGGGAUAUUAAAACGCACAUCACCUCAUAACCAAACAUCAUAAAUAUCUUGCCCGAUCAAUUAUCAUUCAAACAAGACCAGCAAAACUACCCAAUCAGAACCACAAAUAGACAGGCACAAAAGAGCUUUGGAUAAAACACAAGGUAGAUUAUCUUCCCCAUUAAGUUUCCAUCACAUCUGUAGCUUUACAUAAGACUCUGAAGCUCAUAUCCAACUGCAUUUUCCAACCGUUUGCUUAAGCGAUAGGUGACCCUGUGCAAACGGUCCAAGGAUACAUUUAAGAUCAGAUUCGUCAUUCCUAUAGCACAUGUAGUUUCAGAGAGUAAAAUGGAACUACGACAACUUCCCUUAAACCACAAAAAAGGAUACUAGUAGGACGCCUAAAUAAAUUAUCUUCCUAAUUAGGCAAUAGAUGAUAGGCAAUAGAUGAUCCUGUCCAAAGGGUACAUUAGUGCUUGUAAAAUCAAAUUUACUAAUCGAGUUGCAGAGUCAGUUUAAAAUAAUAUUAGAUGGAACUAGCAACACUUUUCUUUAAACCCCAAAACAGAGGUCCACCAUCACUUUUGUUGCAAAUGCCUGCAAACAGAAAGUAAAAGAAGAACAGAGGAUUUAAAGAUUGAUUUGAAAGCAAUAUGAUUGUAUAAACUAGUAAUAUGAAUAUUGGACGAAAAGGUGACGGUUGAGGGAGACAUAAGAAAAUACUAUCUCAAAAGUACCGUAGACGCAUCUCACUAAGCCUUCAACCAGAAGCAAGAAAACAGUUAGCUUUAGAAAAACAAGGAACACUGAGUCUUCAAACGGCGUAAAGAAGAAGCAAUUCUUUAGAUGAGACAGAUUAAACAGGUAGAGACUCUUUCAUGGUAAUUAUAAGCAUGUACCAGAUACUCCGAUUCCCCUGAGCCAAAAACAUCUUACGUGGUAACCAAACUUCUCAGGACUCCACAAAAAACUGUCAUAUAAGCAAAACAAGGAUAAGGAAAAAUACUCAAACUUGAAGCUUCGUCUUCUCAUGAUUUAUUAUUGUUUCCGUCGAAGUCUAUGUCAUCUCAUAAAAGAAAAUAGAAAAAAUAGUGAACCGUAACCAAACAUCAUGACACAUGCCGUAUCAAAAUCACCCAAGUAAGAACAGGAAAUACUAUGGUCGUAUGAAGUAAAAAUCUGAAAAUCGAAUGACAAGGAUGAUGAUCACAUUAAGAAUAUGUAAUCUGGAACUGACAAAAUCAUAUCCAACAGUAGACUCCACUAGAACCCACUGAGCAACAUAUUACACAAUCAGAAACAAAAGAAAGAUCCAUAAGCUAAUUAAAUCACAAAAUAAAUUAUCUUCCCAUCAGAUCGAACCGGGAUCUCUAGCUUAAGCAAUUGACGAUCCUAUCCACAGUAUUCAGGUGUACAUAAGCUCCUAUCCACACUAUCCAUGUGUGCGUAAGCUCUAGUAAAAUGAGAUCCAUCGUUCUACUUGCACAUUUAGCUUAGCUCCAUAAAAUAAAGAUGAGACGAAGCACAACCUUCCUAAAACCACAAAACAGAAAGUACCAAACAGUAAUAAAGCGAAUUGAUAGCCACAAAAAUGUUUGUUGGAAAUUUCUGCAAACAAGUAGGAAAAGCAGUAAAGGUAUUUAAAAUAGAUUAUAAAAAAACUUGUGAUAUAAAGUUAGAAAAAUAAGGAGGAUGAGGGAGAGAGAGAGAAAGCAAGAUUGAACCAUAUCUGGAACUGACGGGUGUCUCAGAGCUGAAUCCCUACUUUAAUACAACACCUGUGGAUCAACACAGUCCAAAGCAAAGGUCGAAAGUCGAGAAAUAUCAUAUCUUGCACAUAUAUAUAUAUCAUAAGGAGAAUCAAAUCUUAAUCGGCAGAACAGAGAGAAGGUUCUUCAUAUGAGACAAAUAGGUUGAACAUCCAGUGGCAGACGAAAUUUUACCGGACACUCUGUUUAGAAUUGUCAUAUAAACACAAUCAUGACGAGGGGAGAAUAUACUCGUAUUCAAAGCGCUUUCUUCUACAAGGAAUCUUUUUGAGAAAAAAUCAAAUCAGCCGAUUACCGAAACCCUGGCAAGAGAAAACACAAUCCAAACGCAAAACCCAUGAUAAUAAACCACUUGUUAAUGCAUACGAAAACCACACCUAAUACCUCGCCGGAUCAAAAUUACCAAAAUAAAACCAAUUCAGAAUCACAAUCAGACGAACGACCCCGAAUCGAUGACGAUCCAAUUGUCAAACCGGCAAAAUAACCCCAAAUAAAAUCAAAUCAGGACCACAAUCAGACGGUAUCGCGAAAGAGAAGAAAAAACACGCGAUGGAUAAACAUUGAAUUGAAUUGCGCAAGUUUCAUAGCGACGAUGAUACAUAUAAUCUAGAAAAACGGAGACGACAAAUAAACAAAAGCAAUAAUCAAACAAAACUCUAAAAUCCACAGAUAACCAACAAAGACGAGAGACGAAGAAAUGAGUUACGGUUGUAGGAGGGGACGGGUAUUUAUAGAAGAGUCGGUGUUGAGUGGAUGGCUGAGAUUAAUCGGAUCAAAGGUACCAAAUGGUUGGACAACCACCGUCAUUUUUGUUGCAAGUUUCUGCAAAUAGAAAGGAAAAACGAAAUAGGAUUUGAAAUGUAAAAAAGAAUAGAUUAUGGAGGGAUUCAUAAGAAUAUAAAAUUUGGCAUCACUAUCGUACUCACCACCACUCGUUGUUCAACACAGCCCAAAUCAUACUAUGUAGCAACCGAACUUCUCAACACAUAACACGAAAUUGCCAUACAAGCAAAUUCACGAAAAGGCGGAGAAAAGCCCAAAGCUCGAAACACUUUCCUUUUUCCAGAAAUCCUAUGACCGCGCGGAAAACAAAAUCAAACCAGCCAACAACGAGACGAGGAUGGGAAAAUAUGAACCAAAUCCAAACCACGGGAUAUUAAAUUGCAUAUCACUCCAUCACCAAACAUCAUAAAUACCUUGCCGGAUCAAUUAUCAUUCAUAGAAGACCUUGACAGCACCACAGAGAAAAGAAACAUAUAAGACACGCUCCCGAUAAUUAGACUGUAAGACCAGCAAAACCACCCAAAUCAGAACCACAAACAGAAAGGCACGAAAGAGCUUUAGAUAAAACACAAGUUAGAUUAUAUUCCCCAUUAAGUAUCCAUCACAUCUGUAGCUUUACAUAAGAGACUCUGAAGCUCAUUUUCCAACGGUUUGCAAAGGGUCCAACGAUAUAUGUAAAAUCAGAUUCAUCAUUCCUAUAGCACAUGUAGUUUCAGAUAUUAAAAUUGAACUAAGACACUUCCCUUAAGCCACAGAAGAAAGGUACUGACUGGUAGGACAGCUAAAUAAAUUAUUUUUCCGCGUAGUCAAUAGGCCAGAGUAAUGUAGAUGGAACUAGCAAAAACUUUCUUUAAACAGAAGGCCUACCAUCAUUUUUGUAGCAAAUGUCUGCAGACAGAAAGGAAAAGAAGAACAGGGGAUUUGAAGAUUGAUUUGCAAGUAAUAUGACCGUAUAAAGUAGUAAUAUGAAAAUUGAGGGAGCCGUUAGAAAAUACUCUCUCAAAGAAUCUGAGACGCAUCUCAAUAAGCCACUACCUGCUGCCGAUCAACACAUUUUGCAACCAGAAGCAAGAAAGUUUUCAUGAGAUAAAUAAAUCAGAAAUUAAAUUAUCUUCCCCGUCAUGUUGUCCGUAAAUCAGACUCAACCUCAGAUCCAACUGCACUAAUCCAUCUUUUGCUGAAGCAAUGGGUUAUCCUGUCCAAAGAUGGAACUACAGCAGACCCCCUAAAAUACACAAACAAAAGUUACCAAAUGGGAGGACAUCCACCAUCAAUUUUCGAGAGGAAAAGCAAAACCGGGAUAAGGAGAAAAUACUCAAACUUGAAGCUGUUUCUUCUACGAAAAAUCAUAUUUUAACCAUUUCCUUCGAAGUCUAUGCCAUCUCGUAAAAGAAAACCAAACCAACGGACAAGAGAAAUCAUAAUCCAAACCCACACAAUCGAAAAAUAGACAAAAUAGUGGCCGAUAAGGAAACAUCAUACCACAUGCCGUAUCAAAAUCACCCAAAUAGAUUUGAAAACAUAUGGUCAUAUUUCAAAAUUGAAUGAGAAGGAUGAUGAUUACAUAAGAAUAUACAAUCUGGAACUGACAAAAACCCCCACUGAUCGAUAAGCUAAUUAAAUCACAAAAUAAAUUAUCUUGCCAUCAUCAGAUCCAACCGAGAUCUCUAGCUUAAGCAAUUGGCGAUCCUAUCCACAGUAUUCAAUUGUACUUAAGCUCCUUAUCCAGGUAUACAUACGGUCUAGUAAAAUCAGAUCCUCGUUCUACUUGCACAGUUAGCUUAGCUCCAUAAAUAAAGAUGAAACACAACCUUCCUAAAACAACAAAACAGAAAGUACCAAAUAGUAAUAAAGUAGUAAAGCAGUAAAGGGAUUUAAAAGAUACAUUAAAAAAAUUGUGAUAUAAAGUUAGAAAAAUAAGGAGGGAGAGAGAGAGAGAGAGAGAGAGAGAGAGAGAGAGAGAGAGAGAGAGAGAGAGAGAGAGAGAGAGAGAGAGAGAGAGAGAGAGAGAGAGAGAGAGAGAGAGAGAGAGAGAUUGAAAUAUCUGGAACUGACGGGAGUUUCAGAGCUGAGUUCUUACUUUAUUACCACAACUGCGGAUCAACACAGUCGAAAGCAACAGUUGAAGGUCGAGAAAUAUCAUAUUGCACAUAUAUAUCAUAAGGAGAAUCAAAGAGAAGGUUCUUCAGAUGAGACAAAUAGGUUGAACGUCCAGUAGCAGAUCAAAAUAGCAGUCAAAAGGACGAAACUUUACCGGACACUCUGCUUAGAAUUGUCAUAUAAACACAAUUACGACAAAAAGGAGAACAUACUCGUAUUCGAAGCGCUUUCUUCAACAAAGAAUCUUGUUCAAAAAGGGUUGAGGAAAAAUCAAAUCAGACGACCUGGCAAGAUAAAACACAAUCCAAACGCAAAACCCCAUGAUAAUAAACCACUUGUUGAUGCAUAACCGAAAACCAUACCUAAUACCUCGCCCGAUCAAAAUCACCAAAAUAAAACCAAUUCAGAAUCACAAUCAGAUGGCCGACCCCGAAUCCAUGACGAUCCAGUCGUCAAACCGGCAAAAUAACCCCAAAUAAAAUCAAAUCAGGACCACAAUCAGACGGCAUCGCAAAAGUGAAGAAAAAAAACACGCGACGGACGAUGAUACAUAUAAUCUAAGAAAUAAACAAAAGAAAUAAUCCGCAGAUAACCAACAAAGACGAGAGACGAAGGAAUGAGUUACGGUUGUAGGAGGGGAUGGGUAUUUAUAGAAGAGUCGGUGUUGAGUGGACGGCUGAGAUUAAUCGGAUC